UGUUAGAUAACAUCCGGUAGGGUUCCCUGCCUCGUCGUUUACCGUUCACAGAUUUGGUUGUCUCAGUCACCACUAUGUCUGUCGAGAACAUCCACAUCAAUGAUGUUCCUAAUGAUGUCGAUAUUUUUGAGUCUGUUGUGAUGCAAGAAGAAAGUUCUGUGAAGGCAGGUUAUUUGGCUGGUUUGAACCAUGGUACUGAAAAGGGUCAAGAAGAUGGUUAUCAACUUGGAUAUUCCUUGGGAUGCAGUGUUGGAAAUGAGAUCGGCUUCCUAAAGGGAUUUGUCUCAACAUGGUUGGCGUUACUUGACCAAUCUCCUGAUACUAAAGAGAAAACUUCCAAGGCAUUAACGUCUCUGCAAACUCUUCUUGGUAAAUAUCCUCUUGGAACUGUGAAUAGCACGUGUGUCACAGACCUGAAAAUGAUCCAAGCAAGAUUUAAAAAGGUUGUGUCGUUGCUGGAUAUAAAUAUUAGUUGGAGUCAGACGGCAUCCAAACAAGAAAGCUUAUCGUUUUAGCAAUCUGCUUUGUUUUGCUGAUUUUUUUUGAUUUUUUUUUUUUUUGCGAGGAGGUCGAGAGAGAGAUCCUGAUGUCUGAACUGUGUGAAGAAACCUCUGCAUUGAAACAACUUCUGGUGACUGUGUCUAAUGUUUUAUUCCUACCCUCAAGGUACCUCACCGGGCCAAAUGCUGAACUGCAUUUACUCCAAUUUUGCGUUCUGCAUUGAAGUUCCGCCAGGGUCGACUUUGCCUUUCAUCCCUUCAGGGUUGAUAAAAUAAGUACCAGUUGAAUACUGGGGAGUCGAUGUAAUUGACUCAACCCCUCCCCACAAAAAUUGUUAACCUUGUGCCAAAACACUUGAAACUAAUAUUUAUUCCUACACAACUCAGUGCCACACAAGAAUCUCUGAGUCAUUCUUAAUAUCAGUGUUCUUCCUGUGAAAAUUGGGGUUUAAGUUUUUACAGUAAUGGAGAGGAGUGGGGGGAAUGUUUGUUGUUGCUUUGUUUUGUUUUGUUUUUUUAUUUUGUCUUUGUUGUUAUUUUAUUGGCAGUAAUUUCGAUAUGUGUGAAUUUUGCAAAUGUAAGUAAGAACUUGAUGCCAUUACCAAAAAAAAUGUUUGCUGCAAGUCAUCAUUGAUUUCUCACAACGCCUGUCUGCUGUUAAUUCCAUUUGUGAAUGUGGACUUAGUUUCCAUCGAAAUUAAGUUUGGUAGGGAAUGGGUAUAACUUGCAGAUACUACACACACAUCUGAAGAAUUUGAUGACCAAAGAGUGGCAAAUUCAAAGCAAUUAGUAAAAAAAAUAUUAGCUUUGGUGUGACAGAACUAAUUAACAUGUGACAACUGACCUAAAAAAAAAAA
rnacentral:misc_RNA from 1 species